UGGGGAAUAUUGCACAAUGGGCGCAAGCCUGAUGCAGCCAUGCCGCGUGUGUGAAGAAGGCCUUCGGGUUGUAAAGCACUUUUGUCCGGAAAGAAAUCCUUGGCUCUAAUACAGUCGGGGGAUGACGGUACCGGAAGAAUAAGCACCGGCUAACUACGUGCCAGCAGCCGCGGUAAUACGUAGGGUGCAAGCGUUAAUCGGAAUUACUGGGCGUAAAGCGUGCGCAGGCGGUUUGCUAAGACCGAUGUGAAAUCCCCGGGCUCAACCUGGGAACUGCAUUGGUGACUGGCAGGCUAGAGUAUGGCAGAGGGGGGUAGAAUUCCACGUGUAGCAGUGAAAUGCGUAGAGAUGUGGAGGAAUACCGAUGGCGAAGGCAGCCCCCUGGGCCAAUACUGACGCUCAUGCACGAAAGCGUGGGGAGCAAAACAGGAUUAGAUACCCUGGUAGUCCACGCCCUAAACGAUGUCAACUAGUUGUUGGGGAUUCAUUUCCUUAGUAACGUAGCUAACGCGUGAAGUUUGACCGCCUGGGGAGUACGGUCGCAAGAUUAAAGCUCAAAAUGAAUUGACGGGGUCAUAGCUG
rnacentral:rRNA from 1 species